rnacentral:rRNA from 1 species
UACGUAGGGAGCAAGCGUUGUCCGGAAUCAUUGGGCGUAAAGCGCGCGUAGGUGGCUUCGUAAGUCCGUUGUGAAAGUCAAAGGCUCAACCUUUGAAGCCGAUGGAUGACUGUGAGGCUAGAGUCCGGGAAGAGGCGAGUGGAAUUCCUGGUGUAGCGGUGAAAUGCGCAGAUAUCAGGAGGAACACCGAUUGCGAAGGCAGCUCGCUGGGACGUAACUGACGCUGAGACGCGAAAGCGUGGGGAGCAACAGG